rnacentral:rRNA from 1 species
UACGUAGGGUGCGAGCGUUAAUCGGAUUUACUGGGCGUAAAGCGUGCGCAGGCGGCCCGUUAAGACAGGUGUGAAAUUCCUGGGCUCAACCUAGGAAUUGCGCUUGUGACUGGCGGGCUCGAGUACGGUAGAGGGGGGUGGAAUUCCUGGUGUAGCAGUGAAAUGCGUAGAGAUCAGGAGGAACACCGAUGGCGAAGGCAGCCCCCUGGGCCUGUACUGACGCUCAUGCACGAAAGCGUGGGGAGCAAACAGG